rnacentral:lncRNA from 1 species
AUGACGUGUAAGGGUGCCGAUUGUGAUAUUUUUCAUGAAGAUGAAUCGUGAAUAAAAAAUUUAUAUAUAAUAUAUAUUUUACAUUUAAAUCAGAUUAUGUAUGUAUUUUUAUAUAUUUUAGAUCAUUAAAAUAUUAUAUUUGAUAUAUUAUUUUGACACAUGAUCUAAAACUUAAUUUUUGCAAAAUUCUAGAUCCAAAACUCUAGGC